rnacentral:rRNA from 1 species
UACGUAGGGUGCGAGCGUUGUCCGGAAUUAUUGGGCGUAAAGAGCUCGUAGGCGGUGUGUCGCGUCGGCCGUGAAAACCUGCAGCUUAACUGUGGGCUUGCGGUCGAUACGGGCAUCACUGGAGUUCGGUAGGGGAGACUGGAAUUCCUGGUGUAGCGGUGAAAUGCGCAGAUAUCAGGAGGAACACCGGUGGCGAAGGCGGGUCUCUGGGCCGAUACUGACGCUGAGGUGCGAAAGCGUGGGGAGCAAACAGG